rnacentral:rRNA from 1 species
GGAGUUAGCCGGUGCUUCUUCUGUGAGUGAUGUCCUUCCUGCCGGCUAUUAACCCGCAGGCCUUCUUCCUCACUGAAAGUGCUUUACAACCCGAAGGCCUUCUUCACACACGCGGCAUGGCUGGAUCAGGGUUGCCCCCAUUGUCCAAUAUUCCCCACUGCUGCCUCCCGUAGGAGUCUGGGCCGUGUCUCAGUCCCAGUGUGGCUGAUCAUCCUCUCAGACCAGCUACGGAUCGUCGCCUUGGUGAGCCGUUACCUCACCAACCAGCUAAUCCGACAUAGGCUCAUCCGAUAGCGCGAGGCCCGAAGGUCCCCCGCUUUCCCCCGUAGGGCGUAUGCGGUAUUAGCCUGGGUUUCCCCAGGUUAUCCCCACUACCGGGCAGAUUCCUAUGCAUUACUCACCCGUCCGCCGCUCGCCACCAGGGAGCAAGCUCCCCGUGCUGCCGCUCGACUUGCAUGUGUUAGGCCUGCCGCCAGCGUUCAAUCUGAGCCAGGAUCAAACUCUGA